rnacentral:rRNA from 1 species
CCCUUAGAUGUUCUGGGCCGCACGCGUGCUACACUGAGUGGGUCAGCGGGUCAGGUUGCGCGAAAGUGUUUCCUAAUCUUGAAAUCCGCUCGUGAUGGGGAUUGACGGUUGCAAUUUUCCGUCAUGAACGAGGAAUACCUUGUAAGCGCGGGUCAUCAUCCCGCGCUGAAUACGUCCCUGCCCUUUGUACACACCGCCCGUCGCUCCUACCGAUUGAGUGGUCCGGUGAGGCUUUGGGAUCUGAGCGGAAAGAGCGUUUCGCUGUUUCUGCUCGGAAAACUCAGUCGAACCUUAUCAUUUAGAGGAAGGAGAAGUCGUAACA